CUUCCAUUGUAACAGAAGAAUGCUCCGGAAGUGGGCUGUUGUCAGGCUGCAGGAGGUAUUGGUACAUGACCUGUACCGGCUCCGGCAGACAGUGUGUUGACAGUCAGCACCUGCAACACACGGCCCAGUGUUGUCUGUUAACACAGCCUGGCUCCCCGGGUUUGGGCCAUUAGGUCAAAGGUCUCCGCGUUGUGUUGACCUAAGUCAACACAACAUGUUGGGAGUGUUUUACGACGUCGUGUCUCAGGGCCGCGCGGGUUACCGUAAAGGGCGGCGGCCAUUUGGAGAUUUAGUUGGCAUUUAAAACGAAACGAAAAUAUGAAAAAGAGGAUGUUUGCAGACCGCAACGUUUGACUCUGCUGAUAACGUGAUUCACGACGUUCUGCCCACGGGGCCGAGGGCCGACCAGAGGGCCCCUGAGUCACAUGACUCACACUGACCAAUGGGGGCUGGAAGAGGGAAGCAAAGCAAAACCAACCAAAAAGAUGACCGGUCUGGCUGGCCCCGUGUCUCGAGGUCACAGGCGAGCGGCGGUGACAUCAGCGACAUGAUGAGCUCACUUCCUCCUCAGACCGACCACACCGCCGUGCGUCUGGAGAGAGGAAACACACUGUCUGUCUGUCUGUCUGUCUGUCUGUCUGUCUGUCUGUCUGUCUGUCUGUCUGUCUGUCUGCCUGCCUGUCUGUCUGUCUGCCUGUCUGUCUG